rnacentral:rRNA from 1 species
GUAGGGAAUAUUGGACAAUGGGCGAAAGCCUGAUCCAGCCAUGCCGCGUGAUAGAUGAAGGCCCUCUGGGUUGUAAAUAUCUUUUAUCUGGGAAGAAACUCCUCUAUUCUUAGAGGCCUGACGGUACCAGAGGAAUAAGCACCGGCUAACUCCGUGCCAGCAGCCGCGGUAAUACGGAGGGUGCAAGCGUUAUCCGGAUUCACUGGGUUUAAAGGGUGCGUAGGCGGGUUGAUAAGUCAGUGGUGAAAGCUCCGGGCUUAACUUGGAAACUGCCAUUGAUACUGUCAGUCUUGAAUGUCGUAGAGGCAAGCGGAAUGUUGCAUGUAGCGGUGAAAUGCUUAGAUAUGUUACAGAACACCAAUUGCGAAGGCAGCUUACUAUGCGAUAAUUGACGCUGAGGCACGAAAGCGUGGGGAGCAAACAGGAUUAGAUACCCUAGUAGUCC